GAUGAACGCUGGCGGCGUGCCUAACACAUGCAAGUCGAGCGAAGCACUUACUUUAGAUUUCUUCGGAAUGACGAAGUUUGUGACUGAGCGGCGGACGGGUGAGUAACGCGUGGGCAACCUGCCCUGUACAGGGGGAUAACAGUUAGAAAUGACUGCUAAUACCGCAUAAGCCCACAGCUUCGCAUGAAGCAGUGGGAAAAACUCCGGUGGUACAGGAUGGGCCCGCGUCUGAUUAGCUAGUUGGUAAGGUAACGGCUUACCAAGGCGACGAUCAGGAGCCGACCGGAGAGGGGGACCGGCCACAUUGGGACUGAGACACGGCCCAAACUCCUACGGGAGGCAGCAGUGGGGAAUAUUGCACAAUGGGGGAAACCCUGAUGCAGCGACGCCGCGUGAGAGAUGAAGUAUUUCGGUAUGUAAAGCUCUAUCAGCAGGGAAGAAAGUGACGGUACCUGACAAAGAAGCCCCGGCUAACUACGUG
rnacentral:rRNA from 1 species